CCCUUAGAUGUCCUGGGCCGCACGCGCGCUACACUGACAUGUUCAACAAGCCUCCUAGUUCGACAGGAUUUGGGAAGUCUUUGAACGCAUGUCGUGAUAGGGAUAGAUCAUUGCAAUUAUUGAUCUUGAACGAGGAAUUCCUAGUAAACGCGAGUCAUCAGCUCGCAUUGAUUACGUCCCUGCCCUUUGUACACACCGCCCGUCGCACCUACCGAUUGAAUGUUUCGGUGAAGAUUCCGGAUAGGACUUUUUUGAUUUAUUUCAAUUUUGUCUUAAAAGCUAUCUAAACCUCAACAUUUAGAGGAAGGUGAAGUCGUAACA
rnacentral:rRNA from 1 species